rnacentral:rRNA from 1 species
ACUCCUACGCGGAGGCAGCAGUGGGGAAUUUUCCGCAAUGGGCGCAAGCCUGACGGAGCAAGACCGCGUGAGGGAGGAAGGCUCUUGGGUUGUAAACCUCUUUUAUCAGGGAAGAAGAUCUGACGGUACCUGAUGAAUCAGCAUCGGCUAACUCCGUGCCAGCAGCCGCGGUAAUACGGAGGAUGCAAGCGUUAUCCGGAUUUAUUGGGCGUAAAGCGUCCGCAGGUGGUUUUUCAAGUCUGCUGUUAAAGCGCAGAGCUUAACUCUGUAACGGCGGUGGAAACUGAGAGACUAGAGUAUGGUAGGGGUUGCGGGAAUUCCCAGUGUAGCGGUGAAAUGCGUAGAUAUUGGGAAGAACACCAGCGGCGAAAGCGCGCAACUGGGCCAUUACUGACACUCAUGGACGAAAGCUAGGGGAGCGAAAGGGAUUAGAUACCCCUGUAGUCCUAGCUGUAAACGAUGGGUACUAGGUGUUGACCGUAUCGACCCGGUCAGUGCCGUAGCUAACGCGUUAAGUACCCCGCCUGGGGAGUAUGCACGCAAGUGUGAAACUCAAAGGAAUUGACGGGGGCCCGCACAAGCGGUGGAGUAUGUGGUUUAAUUCGAUGCAACGCGAAGAACCUUACCAGGGCUUGACAUGUCGCGAAUCUCGGUGAAAGUCGAGAGUGCCUUCGGGAGCGCGAACACAGGUGGUGCAUGGCUGUCGUCAGCUCGUGUCGUGAGAUGUUGGGUUAAGUCCCGCAACGAGCGCAACCCUCGUUUUUAGUUGCCAGCAUUUAGUUGGGCACUCUAGAGAGACUGCCGGUGACAAACCGGAGGAAGGUGGGGAUGACGUCAAGUCAGCAUGCCCCUUACGUCCUGGGCUACACACGUACUACAAUGCUUCGGACAAAGGGUUGCGAGCUAGCGAUAGCAAGCUAAUCCCGUAAACCGAGGCUCAGUUCAGAUUGCAGGCUGCAACUCGCCUGCAUGAAGGAGGAAUCGCUAGUAAUCCCAGGUCAGCAUACUGGGGUGAAUACGUUCCCGGGCCUUGUACACACCGCCCGU